rnacentral:rRNA from 1 species
GCGCUCUUGGAUGGGCUCAUGCCCUAUCAGCUUGUUGGUGAGGUAACGGCUCACCAAGGCUUCGACGGGUAGCUGAUCUGAGAGGAUGAUCAGCCACACUGGCACUGCGACACGGGCCAG